UGGGGAAUUUUCCACAAUGGGGGAAACCCUGAUGCAGCGAUGCCGCGUGAUUUAGAAGGCCUUCGGGUUGUAAAAAUCUUUUUUAUGGGAUGAAAAUGACAGUACCAUAAGAAUAAUGUCCGGCUAAAUACGUGCCAGCAGCCGCGGUAAUACGUAUGGACCGAGCGUUGUCCGGAAUCAUUGGGGGUAAAGGAUACGUAGGCGGGCCAGUAAGUUAGAAGUGAAAUAAUAUAGCUCAACUAUAUAAAGAUUUUAAAACUGCUAGGCUUGAGAGAUGGAAGGGAAAGUGGAAUUCCUAGUGGAGCGGUGAAAUGCGCAGAUAUUGGGAAGAAUACCGGUGGCGAAGGAGACUUACUGGUCAUCAUCUGACGCUGAGGUACGAAAGCGUGGGGAGCAAACAGG
rnacentral:rRNA from 1 species